rnacentral:sRNA from 12 species
ACAGAAUGAGAGAUAAGGAACUCUCUUUCUAAAUAUAUUUUCAAUCCAUAAGGAGGGAUUUGA